rnacentral:rRNA from 1 species
GACGAACGCUGGCGGCGUGCUUAACACAUGCAAGUCGAACGGUAAGGCCCCUUCGGGGGUACACGAGUGGCGAACGGGUGAGUAACACGUGAGCAACCUGCCCUUGACUCUGGAAUAACAGUUGGAAACAGCUGCUAAUACUGGAUAUUCAUCGUCUCCUUCCUGGGGGGUGGUGGAAAGCUCCGGCGGUCAGGGAUGGGCUCGCGGCCUAUCAGCUUGUUGGUGAGGUAAUGGCUCACCAAGGCUUCGACGGGUAGCCGGCCUGAGAGGGCGACCGGCCACACUGGGACUGAGAUACGGCCCAGACUCCUACGGGAGGCAGCAGUGGGAAUAUUGCACAAUGGGCGCAAGCCUGAUGCAGCAACGCCGCGUGCGGGAUGACGGCCUUCGGGUUGUAAACCGCUUUCAGUAGGGACGAAGGGUGACUGACGGUACCUACAGAAGAAGGACCGGCUAACUACGU